rnacentral:lncRNA from 1 species
GUUCUUUCUGAUGCUAUUAGAUAUAUAAGUGAAGAUGUCAAGAUGGAUGCGUCUGAAUUUUGAGAGAAAGACUAGAGAUAUAGAUUUUGGAGUCAUCAGGAAAUACAUCAUUUUUAUGGCAUGACUGGAUGAGCUCACUAAGGGAAUAAUAUAUAUAUAGAAAAAAAAAGUCUAAAGCCCGAGUUCUGAGCAAUACUCUGCUAAGGGGUCAAAAAGGAAAGAAGGAACCAGCUAAAGAAACUUGGAGCAAGCAGUAAGGUAGCAGAUUUUGGUGUCAUGGAAGCCAAAUAAAGAGUGUUCCAAAGAGAAGGGACUAAUAAACUGUAUCAAAUGCCGCUCAUGGUUCAGGUUGACUCCUAACUGGAAAGCACCACAGAGCAAACGGCCCAUGGUGCCUGCAGGCUGCGUGGGAGCCCUGCUGCUGACCUGUGCUCAGCACCUGUCACCCACAGGUAAGUUACAAAUGCUGCUGGCACCUGUUUGCAGGGGAAUGUGGAAACAUGCAUCCGGGUUCAUCCAGACAGCUUGGGUGAGCAGGAGA